rnacentral:rRNA from 1 species
CUCGCGUCCAAUUAGCUAGUUGGUGAGGUAACGGCCCACCAAGGCACGAUGGGUAGCCGGGACUGAGAGGUUGAACGGCCACAUUGGGACUGAGACACGGCCCAGACUCCUACGGGAGGCAGCAGUGGGGGAUAUUGCACAAUGGGGGAAACCCUGAUUCAGCGACGCCGCGUGGAGGAAGAAGGUUUUCGGAUUGUAAACUCCUGUCGUUAGGGACGAUAAUGACGGUACCUAACAAGAAAGCACCGGCUAACUACGUGCCAGCAGCCGCGGUAAAACGUAGGGUGCAAGCGUUGUCCGGAAUUACUGGGGUGUAAAGGGGAGCGCAGGCGGACCGGCAAGUUGGAAGUGAAAACUAUGGGCUCAACCCAUAAAUUGCUUUCAAAACUGCUGGCCUUGAGUAGUGCAGAGGUAGGUGGAAUUCCCGGUGUAGCGGUGGAAUGCGUAGAUAUCGGGAGGAACACCAGUGGCGAAGGCGACCUACUGGGCACCAACUGACGCUGAGGCUCGAAAGCAUUGGGUAGCAAACAGGAUUAGAUACCCUGGGUA